rnacentral:lncRNA from 1 species
GCACUUGUUAUUUGUGGAUUUAUUAAUGAUGGCCAUUCUGACUGGUGUGAGGUGGUAUCUCAUGGUAGUUUUGAUUUGCAUUUCUCUUAUAAUCAGCGAUGUUGAGCAUUUUUUCAUGUGUUUGUUGGCCAUCUGUAUAUCUUCUUUGGAGAAAUGUCUAUUCAGGUCUUUUGCCCAUUUUUCCAUUGAUUGAUUGGUUUUUUUGCUGUUGAGUUGUAUAAGUUGCUUAUAUAUUCUAGAGAUUAAGCCCUUGUCAGUUGCAUCAUUUGAAACUAUUUUCUCCCAUUCUGUAAGUUGUCUUUUUGUUUUCUUUUGGGUUUCCUUUGCUGUGCAAAAGCUUUUCAGUUUGAUGAGGUCCCAUGGGUUUAUUUUUGCUCUAAUUUCUAUUGCUUUGGGAGACUGACCUGAGAAAAUAUUCAUGAUGUUGAUGUCAGAGAGUGUUUUGCCUAUGUUUUCUUCUAGGAGUUUGAUGGUGUCCUGUCGUAUAUUUAAGUCUUUCAGCCAUUUGGAGUUUAUUUUUGUGCAUGGUGUGAGGGUGUGUUCUAGUUUCAUUGCUUUGCAUGCAGCUGUCCAGGUUUCCCAGCAAUGCUUGCUGAAUAGACUUUCUUUUUCCCAUUUUAUGUUCUUGCCUCCCUUGUCAAAGAUUAAUUGACCAUAGGUGUCAGGGUUUAUUUCCGGAUUCUCUAUUCUGUUCCAUUGGUCUGUCUGUCUGUUUUGAUACCAGUACCACACUGUUUUGAUGACUGUGGCUUUGUAGUAUUUCUUGAAGUCUGGGAGAGUUAUGCCUCCUGCUUGGUUUUUGUUUCUCAGGAUUGCUUUGGCGAUUCUGGGUCUUUUGUGGUUCCAUAUAAAUGUUUGGAUUGUUUGUUCUAGUUCUGUGAAAAAUGUCAUGGGUAAUUUGAUAGGGAUUGCAUUGAAUCUGUAGAUUGCUUUGGGUAGUAUGGCCAUUUUUACAAUAUUGAUUUUUCCAAUCCAGGAACAUGGAAUAUCUUUCCAUUUCUUUACAUCUUCUUUGAUUUCUUUGAUUAAAGUUUUAUAGUUCUCGGCAUAUAGGUCCUUUACCUCUUUGGUCAGGUGUAUUCCGAGGUAUUUGAUUUUGUGAGGUACAAUUUUAAAAGGUAUCGUAUUUUUGUAUUCCUUUUCUAAUGUUUCAUUGCUGGUAUACAGAAAUGCAACUGACUUCUGAAUGUUAAUCUUAUAUCCUGCCACUUUGCUGAAUUUAUUAAUCAGUUCAAGGAGUUUUGGGGUUGAGUCCUUAGGGUUUUCUAGGUAUAGUAUCAUGUCAUCUGCAUACAGUGACAGUUUGAUCUCUUCUCUUCCUAUAUGGAUGCCUUUUAUUUCUUUUGUUUGUCUAAUUGCUGUGGCUAAGACUUCCAAAACUAUGUUGAAGAGCAGUGGUGAGAGUGGGCAUCCCUGUCUUGUUCCAGAUUUGAGUGAGAAGGCUUUCAGUUUUUCCCCAUUGAGGAUUAUAUUUGCUGUGGGUUUAUCAUAAAUGGCUUUGAUUAUAUUCAGGAAUGUUCCCUCUAUACCCACUUUGGCGAGGGUCUUGAUCAUGAAUGGAUGUUGAACUUUGUCAAAUGCUUUUUCUGCGUCUAUUGAGAUGAUCAUAUGAUUUUUGACUUUUUUUUUGUUAAUGUGGUGUAUGAUGCUGAUUGAUUUGCGUAUGUUGAACCAUCCUUGUGAACCUGGGAUGAACCCAACCUGGUCAUGGUGUAUAAUUUUUUUGGUAUGUUGUUGGAUUCAGUUGGCUAAGAUUUUGUUGAGAAUUUUUGCAUCUAUAUUCAUCAAAGAUAUAGGCCGAUAGUUUUCUUUUUUGGUGUUAUCUUUGGUUUUGGAAUUGGGGUGAUGGUGACAUCAUAGAAUGUCUUUGGAAGUAUUCCUUCUUCUUCAACUUCUUGAAGGAGUUUAAGGAGGAUGGGUACCAGUUCCUCUUUAUAUGUUUGAUAGAAUUUGCCUGUGAAGCCAUCUGGUCCUGGACUUUUAUUUGUAGGGAGUGUUUUUAUGACAUCUUCAAUUUCAUUUCUAGUGGUCGGUCUGUUCAGUUGGUCUGUUUCUUCUUGAUUCAGUUUUGGCAGGCUGUAAGAUUCUAGAAAAUUGUCCAUUUCUUCUAGAUUGUCAAACUUGUUGCCGUAUAGUUGUUCAUAGUAUUCUCUUAUGGUUUUUUGUAUUUCUGCUGUAUCCGUUGUGAUUUCUCCUUUUUCAUUUAUAAUUUUGGUUAUUUGAGGAACCUGGGUUUUGAUGCAUUCUUUGAUAUAGCCAUUGAUUAACAUUUGUGGUUUAGAGAUCCAGGGAGUAACUUCCCUGCAGGCCUUGUUUACUAUAGGGAGUGGACCUAUGCCUAGAUGGACAUUAAUCCCUAAUCCCCUGGGACUCAGUUUACGGGAAGAAAAGGGCAAAGAAACUGUGAGACUUACACGACAUUUCCACCUCUAAAACCCUAUUGGACAAGGACUGAUAUGGGUAAUUGAGCAAGGCCAAGGGGAGAAAAAAACCCCACAUCUUUCUGGACCCCACGUUGAUACCCUCCCCACCUUUAAGAGACAAAAAUCCCUGUAGGACAUUAGAGAAAGGGGCUCUUCUCCCCCACUCCCAGCAACCCUGGGAGCUAUUUGCUUUCCUUUAAUAAAGACUUUGCUUACUUGCAAAUAAAAUAAAGUAAAGUAAAAUAAAAUAAAAUAAUAAAAAAAAAUAAAAAUCUUCUUCCUUAAGAACUACAGCUAAGAUUUCCACAGAAAAAUUUUUCCCUGCCUUCAAGAACUUACACUCUGUUUGGAUAACAUUAUAAUGAAGGCUGAUAUUAACAACAAAGGAGUAAUUGAACCAGAGAAAUUUGUAUGUUUUGAGGUUGCAAAACACAUAAUUUUGGUAGUGAUUUUUAAGAAUUCAAGUUACAACUAUAAAAUUAAAUAUGAGGUUUUUGAUAUUUGGGUUAUAAUUUCAUCAAGACCUAGGCUCUCACAGAAUAACCAGUAAGGUGGAAAUUUUUUUUUUAAUUUAUCUGUUUCAAGAAACUGGAAAACUAUUGUGGCAACCAAGACUUUUUGGAAAACAAUUUAUGAUAAUAGGAAGCCAUACAGAAAAGAGAGAACCCCCUUUUAAAGUCAGAAUACUUGCUGAUCCUGGUUAUAGGGCAAAAGACUUAGGAUACAAAGUUUUAAACAGAGGACCUCUACUAAGAGUAAAUUAAUCUCAAAAACAAAGGAAAAAUAUAUAAUAGCAGAAAUGAAUUAAACAGAAAGUAACUACCACCUUCUGACUUAUAUGCUAUAUUAUUAUCAGUAUUCAAUUCAAUAUUGGUUGUAUUAACCCUACAGAAGAGUUAUUAUUGCUUAUAUUAUUGAAGUUUGUUUGUAUUUAUCCAAAUGUUUAAACUUUUCUUUCUUCACCAUUUCUUCUGACAUAUUUUUUUGUCCUCUUAAACUGGCCAUUAGAAGGAACAUUUGUGACGGACAUUUUUUUGGCAUAAAAUCCUCUAAAUGUCUUUUACUUUGCCAUGAUAUUUGAAAGAUAGUUUAACUGGGAAUAUAAUUCUAGGUUGUAAGUUAUUACCUCCUGGCAUCUUUAACAUCCUGUUUCAUGGCCUUCUGACUUUUACUGGUGAUAUUUUAGCCAUUUAUGACUUUCAUUUCUGAUAUUCUUUUUUGCUUCCCCACUGUGUUAUUUCUGAGAACGUUGUCCUUGAGAACUAUGUUGAAUUGUAGGAACUGGAGGGAAAGUUUAGAUAGGGAGGAGAGGGCUUUUGCUGCUCUGACAUCCACUUUGGGUACCAUGUUUUUUCUAAUUAUGUUUCUGUCUGCCAGUACAGUUCAGGAUCUGGCAGUUCUAAAGGAGAACACAACUUCCAGAGUGUGUUUACCUCUCUUGAGUCACAUUUUCACAUUUUCUCUGGCCUUGAAAGUUUCCUUUGCUUUUCUGCCAGUUUAACAGGGCAUUUGAAGAGAUGUUUACAAAAAAUAGCUUUGGAUAAAUAGAAGUUAUUUUGUUUUGUUGUUGUUAGGAUAAAGUUUCUGGAAAUGUCAUCUGCUUUUUUACCAGAAAAAAAAAAUAGUAUGAAAAGGGCUUGUGUAUUCUGUUUGUGUCCAGGUUCGUUUACCCUGCUAGACCAUGAGCUCCAUCUAGUUUGACACUCUUUUAGUUAUUCUUGAUUCCCUAGACCCAGCAUAUCAUCAGAUAUGUAAUACACAUCAGUGGAUACUUAAGUUGUUGAAGGAGGGGGGUAGACAAAAAUCAAGGUUGGUAUGACUUCUGAGAAGAAGUGAGGUCAUUGGACAGUAGAAGGUAAUUUUUGAAAGAACAGUUUGUGAGGUGGUAGAGAGAAAAGAUGUAGAGAGAUAGAUGGGCAGAGGAGUCAGAGUUAAAUGGUAAGGUGGCUUCUCCAAGUACUGUAAAUAAAGAUGAUGGGAAAAAGAUGGAGAGGGUGAGCUUGAUGGGGAGGAAGGACUGAAAAAAUAACAUUUUUAAUAUGAAAAAUCUUUAAUUACAGCUUAGGGUAGGAAGAUCUGAUAAAGAAUGAAAAAUUAAAGGAAUAGAGAGUAAUUGAUGGAACAAGUCCACUGAGAAGGUGAACUAUGAGAUCAAGAGUAUAAUUAAAAUGGUUAGCUUCAAAACAGAAUGGAGAAAAAAAAGAAUUAGUGGUAAAUAAAACUCAGGUGAGAGUAAGAAGCAGGAAACAUAAAGGAAGAUUUUACUUGAUGGAAACUGUUUUCUCAUUUAUUUAAAAUGUAUUUUCCAGAAGUUCCCAUUGUGGCACAGAGGAAACGAACCUGACUACGAACCAUGAGAUUGUGGGUUCGAUCCCUGGCCUCACUCAGUGGGUAAAGGAUCUGGCAUUGCCUUGAGCUGUGGUGUAGGUCACAGAUGUGGCUCGGAUCUGGUAUUGCUGUGACUCUGGCAUAGGCCAGCAGCAACAGCUCUGAUUAGACCCCUAGCCUGGGAACCUCCAUAUGCCAUGGGUGCGGCCCUAAAAAAGACAAAAAUAAAAUAAAAUAAAAUGUAUUUCCCACUUAUUACAUAAAAGGAUGAGAAGCAUGUGGAAUGUUAGUAAAAGGUAUGCAACCACCCCCUGAAAAUUUAAUUGGUACAGCUGGGAGAGAAUUUUAACAAUAGGUAGGUAACAUUGAAUUCCAUGUGAAAAUAUAACAAAAAGAAGAUAUUUGGGAAAUAUGACCCUAUGAUUCAUAAGGAAAUACCAUCUAUAGUCUCAUGUGUGUUCAUUUAACACUCUUAUAUGAGUAGUUUAUUAUAUAAUAGUUAUCAUACCUACCAGAAUAGCAUAGGUUUGUUUAGAGCUAUAAAUUGGGACACUAAGUUGUGAGUCUCUCUGAGGCCAGAGUGGAAACAUCCCAUCCCUUCAUGUAGAUGAGACAAGAGUUGAGGCUGAGUCUGGACAGAUUUUUUUCUCUAUUCUCAGCUUUGGUGACCCAGGGACUCAAUGCUGAGUUUCGGUCUAUGUGGAAAUUUAAAACAUGGUACAACAUCUGCUGUCAAGGUACCAAAUCAUGUCCUGUGAAAUAAAAAA